UCCAAAGCGAUACCGUGCUUGCCCGGUCACUGUGGCCGACUGGGGCCUCAAAGAACCACUCUGGUACCAGCGACCAUUGCCCUUUUGGAGUCUCCACACGCCCCCUUGUGGCCACUGCGCGCCCCUGCAGCUUCUGUCGCUCGGGUCACAGUCCCCGUUAUCCCGGCCACACCCGGGGGUGCCGGAGACAGAUGUGGCCCGGCGGGAGGCCCGGUCAGCCUUCCUCCCAGAGGCAGGUCUGGGCUGACUGAAGCACCAUCCGGUCGACCGGGUGCGUCCGGGGCUCCAGACACAGGUGGAGGCGGCGGCAGCGCGGGAGGAGUCGCGGGACGACCUCUGCCCCUCCCCUCCAGAACCGAAAUCCGGGACGGCCGGCGCCCGCGGGGCCUAAGAAGUGCCUGACGCCUGCCUGGCGGUCGUUCCCCAGUUUCCCGGGAGGAUCGGUGGGAGGCCGCGCAGAAGAUGCCCCUGCCUUCCAAAGAACCCAGCCACACAUCCAAGGGCUGGCCCACGUCGGGGCACCUGGCUCUUCUCCGGCAGCUAAGCUCAAAGUCAUCCUGUCUGAUCCACAGGGCCUCACCUGAAUAGGCUUCUGGGGGACCCAGCCCACCCAUUCUCCACGUCCAAACACAUCUGACCCCUGUGGGGAUCCCCGAGUGGGGAUCGCUGGUCCACCUAACAAGAGAGGCCAUUAGGAAUGCAGCGGUGACAGCCGCCUUCUCGUCCGCCGCCUGAGGCAGAAGAUCCAGGCUCAAGCACUGGGGAAAGGAUGGCUCUACUCCGAAGAGAACAAUAAAUUGACAUCAGAUCAUUUUCCAACAGCUUUUCCCACUUCUUCACAUUUGCCACAUUGCAUUCUACAUUCCAAUUUCCAAAGGGACAGGAGCAUGAAUAAUAUAAGAGAGAGAAAAAAAAAUUAACUGGAAUCAAGAACUUUAUCAUUUUCAAGCAUGAGAUUUAUGGCUGAGCAUCAGGUAUGGCUUUUACCCAAAAUGUUCUCCUCAAGAUACCAGGGAAACCAGACCUGCACGGACAUAGUGAUGUUGCAAUAAAUUGAGUUAAAGUCA